rnacentral:rRNA from 1 species
AAUCAACGCUGGCGGCGCGCUUAACACAUGCAAGUCGCACGAGAAAGGGAGCAAUCCUGAGUAAAGUGGCGUACGGGUGAGUAACACGUGGGAAUCUACCUCUUGGCGGGGAAUAACCCUGGGAAACCGGGGCUAAUACCGCAUAAGCUCGUGAGAGGAAAGCAGCAAUGCACCGAGAGAGGAGCCCGCGGCCGAUUAGCUAGUUGGUGGGGUAAUGGCUCACCAAGGCGAAGAUCGGUAGCCGGCCUGAGAGGGCACACGGCCACACUGGCACUGAAACACGGGCCAGACUCCUACGGGAGGCAGCAGUGGGGAAUCUUGCACAAUGGGGGAAACCCUGAUGCAGCGACGCCGCGUGAGCGAUGAAGCCCUUCGGGGUGUAAAGCUCUUUCGACAGGAACGAUAAUGACGGUACCUGGAGAAGAAGCGGCGGCUAACUACGUG